UACGUAGGGUGCAAGCGUUGUCCGGAAUCAUUGGGCGUAAAGCGCGCGUAGGUGGCUUCGUAAGUCCGUUGUGAAAGUCAAAGGCUCAACCUUUGAACGCCGAUGGAUACUGCGGAGCUAGAGUACGGAAGAGGCGAGUGGAAUUCCUGGUGUAGCGGUGGAAUGCGCAGAUAUCAGGAGGAACACCAAUAGCGAAGGCAGCUCGCUGGGACGUUACUGACACUAAGGCGCGAAAAGCGUGGGGAGCGAACAGG
rnacentral:rRNA from 1 species